rnacentral:rRNA from 1 species
AAUGAACGUUGGCGGCGUGGAUUAGGCAUGCAAGUCGAGCGAGAACCCGCAAGGGGACAGCGGCGAACGGGGUAGGAAUACGUAGGUAACGUACCCUCGGGGCGAGGACAGCCACGGGAAACUGUGGGUAAUACUCGAUAAACUUCCCAAUCAUUAUGGAAGGGAAGCAAUGGGUGUGAUUCCACCUGAGGAGCGGCUUACGCAGUAUCAGCUAGUUGGUGAGGUAACGGCUCACCAAGGCUACGACGCUUAGGGGGUGUGAGAGCAUGGCCCCCACCACUGGCACUGAGACACUGGCCAGACACCUACGGGUGGCUGCAGUCGAGAAUCUUCGGCAAUGGACGCAAGUCUGACCGAGCGACGCCGCGUGUGGGAUGAAGGCCUUGGGUUGUAAACCACUGUCAGAGGGGAUGAAGUGUACGAGAGUUAUCUCUUGUAUUUGACAGAGCCUCAGAGGAAGCACGGGCUAAGUUCGUGCCAGCAGCCGCGGUAAU